rnacentral:rRNA from 1 species
CGAUGGCGACCGGCGCACGGGUGAGUAACGCGUAUCCAACCUGCCUUACACUCUUGGACAGCCUUCUGAAAGGGAGAUUAAUACAAGAUGUUAUCAUGAGUAAGCAUUUUCGCAUGAUUAAAGGUUUACCGGUGUAAGAUGGGGAUGCGUUCCAUUAGAUAGUAGGCGGGGUAACGGCCCACCUAGUCUUCGAUGGAUAGGGGUUCUGAGAGGAAGGUCCCCCACAUUGGAACUGAGACACGGUCCAAACUCCUACGGGAGGCAGCAGUGAGGAAUAUUGGUCAAUGGACGAGAGUCUGAACCAGCCAAGUAGCGUGAAGGAUGAAGGUUCUAUGAAUUGUAAACUUCUUUUAUACGGGAAUAAACGAAUCCACGUGUGGAUUUUUGCAUGUACCGUAUGAAUAAGGAUCGGCUAACUCCGUGCCAGCAGCCGCGGUAAUACGGAGGAUCCGAGCGUUAUCCGGAUUUAUUGGGUUUAAAGGGAGCGUAGAUGGGUUGUUAAGUCAGUUGUGAAAGUUUGCGGCUCAACCGUAAAAUUGCAAUUGAUACUGGCAGUCUUGAGUACAGUUGAGGUAGGCGGAAUUCGUGGUGUAGCGGUGAAAUGCUUAGAUAUCACGAAGAACUCCGAUUGCGAAGGC